UCCACAGCUUUCUUGAACUGC
rnacentral:siRNA from 1 species